GUCAACAACCAUAUCAUGUAAAAAGCACCAGUUCUCGUCCGAUCACUGAAGUUAAGUUGCAUUGAGCAUGGUUAGUACUUGAAUGGGUGACCGUCUGGGAACACCAUGUGUCGUUGGCA